rnacentral:siRNA from 1 species
UAACUGUCUUGCUUCUGUGCCCA